UCAAAAUAAGGAAGCAGAUCUGGUCCAGAAAACUAGAAGUGAAGGCCUAUAUAUAAUAGAAUAGAGAAGGGAGAGCCUGUUGGGUCUAUUGGUUAAGGCACCGGGUUAGAAAACGGGAGCUGGUGAGUUCUUCCUGCAUUAGGAGUGAAAGCUGGCUGGGUGACUUUGAGCCAACCACCAGGAGACAAGGAACGAUCGCCGUUGUCUCUCUCUGUGUGUGUUUGGGCUACAGAGGAGAGGAACCGAGCAGACCCCUGCUUCUUCCCUUCAGGUAUCCACCAGAUGGUCGCUGCCAGUUUCCGGCACUCUCGAGACAACACUCGCGCACAAAAAGAAAUUCUGGCCGGCUGCCUCGAUAGCCAUUAUCAUCUUGCUUGCUCUGGACACGCAGAGGCACAAAGGAAGGGAAUGAGAGGCUGUCUCCAGCCAAAAAAGGACUCCCGGACCGUCCCCAUCCAUCCGAGAGGGACUUAAGAGAGCGCGCUGGCUGGCGGGCCAACUUGGUUGAGACCGGGAUAAUAAAAACCACAAGUGGGUUUCAUUUAAAAAAAGCAGAGCCAAAUGGAGGUGCGCUGCCUGCCGCUGACAAUCUUGCCUGAAAAGCUGUUGGCCGAAAGCCAUUUCGACAUCCUCGGUGUUAAAAGAUAAGAGCGGAGCAAAAACUCGCAACAUGUUGAACAGCCGCGGAUUUCAGAGGACGGCUCGGCAAUUGCCCAUCGAGGAGAAAAGGUCAAGCGCAAAGAAUCAGGUGCAUCGGUUAGGUUGCCGCGUCGGUUUACAGCUAGUCCCCGGCGCACAGCUACAACUGAGCCCAAAAUUGUCAUUGCUAAAUGGGGGGUUUUUUUGCUCCAUUUUAUGACCUUCUUGCCACAAUGGUUAAGCCAGUGGUUCUCAACCUUUUUAAUGUUGCGAUCCCCAACUGGUCGUAA